CCUCGGGAGGCAGCAGUAGGGAAUCUUCGGCAAUGGACGAAAGUCUGUCCGAGCAACGCCGCGUGAGUGAAGAAGGUUUUCGGAUCGUAAAACUCUGUUGUUAGAGAAGAACAAGUUGGAGAGUAACUGCUCUUACCUUGACGGUAUCUAACCAGAAAGCCACGGCUAACUACGUGCCAGCAGCCGCGGUAAUACGUAGGUGGCAAGCGUUGUCCGGAUUUAUUGGGCGUAAAGCGAGCGCAGGCGGUCUUUUAAGUCUGAUGUGAAAGCCCUCGGCUCAACCGAGGAAGGUCAUUGGAAACUGGAGGACUUGAGUGCAGAAGAGGAGAGUGGAAUUCCAUGUGUAGCGGUGAAAUGCGUAGAUAUAUGGAGGAACACCAGUGGCGAAGGCGACUCUCUGGUCUGUAACUGACGCUGAGGCUCGAAAGCGUGGGGAGCAAACAGGAUUAGAUACCCCUGUAGUC
rnacentral:rRNA from 1 species